rnacentral:rRNA from 1 species
AUUGAACGCUGGCGGCAGGCCUAACACAUGCAAGUCGAGCAGAUGAAGGGAGCUUGCUCCUGGAUUCAGCGGCGGACGGGUGAGUAAUGCCUAGGAAUCUGCCUGGUAGUGGGGGAUAACGUCCGGAAACGGGCGCUAAUACCGCAUACGUCCUGAGGGAGAAAGUGGGGGAUCUUCGGACCUCACGCUAUCAGAUGAGCCUAGGUCGGAUUAGCUAGUUGGUGGGGUAAAGGCCUACCAAGGCGACGAUCCGUAACUGGUCUGAGAGGAUGAUCAGUCACACUGGAACUGAGACACGGUCCAGACUCCUACGGGAGGCAGCAGUGGGGAAUAUUGGACAAUGGGCGAAAGCCUGAUCCAGCCAUGCCGCGUGUGUGGAGAAGGUCUUCGGAUUGUAAAGCACUUUAAGUUGGGAGGAAGGGCAGUAAGUUAAUACCUUGCUGUUUUGACGUUACCAACAGAAUAAGCACCGGCUAACUUCGUG